UACGUGUUGGUAAUAAAGCUGUUAGAUUGUUUUAAGUUGUACCAAUAUCCACUAAUAAAAACUUUUCCUUUCCCAAGGUUUCUCAAUAGGGGAACAAGUAUCUUGCAAAAAACAGUUUCUUGAUAACAAAAGCCAGUAUCUUGCAGGCAGGAGCUUUAGACCGAGAAUGCCAACAGAAAGGAAGUGAGAAGAUAUUGUUGCUGCUGCUGCUAUUAUUUCUAUGAGAUCCUAGAGUUGUGAAGAACUGACAAAAGCUAAACAACGAUGUAAGGUGAUCCUGCAGGAGGUGAAGCCACAAUGGAAGUGAGUGGCCAAGGAGAACACCCAAAAUGAACUCUGAGAAUUGAAAUGUACAGUACAUCAUUGGAUCUGUCUUUGUUGGGAAAGAAGAACCCCCAUAUGGUGUGACUGGCUGGAACAAAAAUACAUCCCAACAGCAAAAUAAAUAGGUAAUAUACUUAAAGCUGAGAUGCAUAAUCCAAGACAAUAUUUCUGCAGAAUCAUGGAGAUUGGAAGCUUAGAAAAAUGAGAAAUUGAGGCAACCAAAGUAGACUGAUCCUUCCAUCCCUAAUCUCAAGUGCAUUUUGUACAUUCCUCAGUUGUCAGUCUCCAACAGGCUUCAGGGAAUGCACAUAUCACAUCUUCAUUUUGUAUACUCUCGAGGCAACAAAAUGGCAAAUGAGGUGCAAUGUAAGCAAGAGUAAAGCCCUCUCCAUGGAGUUUGAAUAGGGGCUCAGGGCUCUGCCCCCAAAGUCGUGCUGCUCCUCCUGCAUCUUUUUUGUGUAAAGGAUAAUAAAAUAGCUUUAACUAUCCAACAAGUCUGGUGCACCCGCUGGCCCUGAAAAGCAAGAUGAAAGACAGAAAAUGAGAAGAGGAAAUAGAAGAAUUAUAUGUAUAUAUCUUGUUAAACUAAAUCCCUAAAGUGCCCAAGAAGCAAUUCAUUUCCUUCCACAAUUAUAGACAUUCAUUUACCCAGUCCUGGAAAAUAUCAGCACUUACCA